AACGAACGCUGGCGGCAGGCCUAACACAUGCAAGUCGAGCGAGACCUUCGGGUCUAGCGGCGGACGGGUGAGUAACGCGUGGGAACGUGCCCUUUGCUACGGAAUAGCCCCGGGAAACUGGGAGUAAUACCGUAUGUGCCCUUCGGGGGAAAGAUUUAUCGGCAAAGGAUCGGCCCGCGUUGGAUUAGGUAGUUGGUGGGGUAAUGGCCUACCAAGCCGACGAUCCAUAGCUGGUUUGAGAGGAUGAUCAGCCACACUGGGACUGAGACACGGCCCAGACUCCUACGGGAGGCAGCAGUGGGGAAUCUUAGACAAUGGGGGAAACCCUGAUCUAGCCAUGCCGCGUGAGCGAUGAAGGCCUUAGGGUUGUAAAGCUCUUUCAGGUGGGAAGAUAAUGACGGUACCACCAGAAGAAGCCCCGGCUAACUCCGUGCCAGCAGCCGCGGUAACAC
rnacentral:rRNA from 1 species